rnacentral:rRNA from 1 species
GACGAACGCUGGCGGCGUGCUUAACACAUGCAAGUCGAACGGAAAGGCCCUGCUUUUGUGGGGUGCUCGAGUGCCAACGGGUGAGUAAAACGUUAGUAAACUUCCCUUGACUUUGGGGUAAACUCCGGAAACCGGGGCUAAUACCGGAUAGGAACUCCUGCUGCAUGGGGGGGGUUGGAAAGUUUCGGCGGUUGGGGAUGGACUCGCGGCUUAUCAGCUUGUUGGUGGGGUAGUGGCUUACCAAGGCUUUGACGGGUAGCCGGCCUGAGAGGGUGACCGGCCACAUUGGGACUGAGAUACGGCCCAGACUCCUACGGGAGGCAGCAGUGGGGAAUAUUGCACAAUGGGCGGAAGCCUGAUGCAGCAACGCCGCGUGCGGGAUGACGGCCUUCGGGUUGUAAACCGCUUUCGCCUGUGACGAAGCGUGAGUGACGGUAAUGGGUAAAGAAGCACCGGCUAACUACGUG